rnacentral:rRNA from 1 species
AUGAACCCGACCCUCCUCACUCGCUGGCUAUGGCGCAUUGCAAACAGCGAUGGUGGCUUGUGGCUACAAAUCAUCCAUUGCAAGUACCUGCGCGACCAACCCCUCGCUUUCUGCGUCAGGUCGGGUGGCUCUCAGUUUUGGCAGUCUGUUGUUCAGCUCCUCCCGGUUCUGCGUAUUGGGACUUCCAUCGUGGUUGGCACCAGUUCGGCCACACUUUUCUGGUUUGGCCGAUGGGCAGGUGAUCGCCCUUUCGCGGCCCGGUUCCCUGACCUUUUUUCCAUAGCGGUUGAACCCAGGAUCUCCGUCGAGUCGGCCCUUAUUGACUUAGGGCGUCUCGCGUUCCGGCGGCCAUUUGGGCCGCCGGAGGUUGCCACUUGGCAUGAGCUCCUUGACACGGUGGCCCUCCAUGAGCCGGACUUAUCGCAGCACCUCGACGACCGCCUAUCUUGGCGUCUCGAGCCCUCGGGUCGCUUUUCCACGAAGUCACUUUACUGCGCCAUCGCGCACGCUCCCGGGCCAAGCGUCCUCGACUCUAUAUGGUCUAUUCGCGUCCCCCUCAAGAUUAGAAUCUUCAUGUGGCAAUGGAUCCGUGGCCGGCUCCCCUCGGGCGUGGAGGUCCUGCGGCGCCAGGGUCCCGGUGAUGGUAUCUGCCCCCUAUGUGGGACGGUGGAAACCUCGAAUCACAUCUUCUUCUCGUGCAUCUCCGCCCAGUUUCUUUGGGGCUGCCUCCGAGAGGUCAUUGGUGGCAACUAG